UACGUAGGGGGCAAGCGUUGUCCGGAUUUAUUGGGCGUAAAGAGCGUGUAGGCGGCCAGGUAGGUCUGCUGUGAAAACUCGAGGCUUAACCUCGAGCUGUCGGCGGAAACCAUCUGGCUAGAGUCCGGAAGAGGAGAAUGGAAUUCCCGGUGUAGCGGUGAAAUGCGCAGAUAUCGGGAAGAACACCCGUGGCGAAGGCGGCCAACUGGGAGUACCACCGUGAC
rnacentral:rRNA from 1 species